UUAUCAGGACUAUUCUCAUCAGUUUUUGACUUUGGCUGUGAUGUGGAAUAUAGAUGUAGAGCAAGUCAAGAAGCAUGCCGAAAAACUCUCCAAUAUACUUGAUGAGCAACAAAAGCUUUUUCAACAAUUUCAAGGUAUUCAUAUGCAGAAAAUAGAAGAAUUUAAGGAGUUAUGUGAUCGACACUUAAAGAAUCUACAGGCUAUUAAGAGGUGUCGCCGAAAAGCUAUUGUUGAGGAAGCCAGGAAACAAAUGGGCUGCUUGGAAAGGAAACUUACUGAAGAAACUGUUCAUGUAAAGCAGCAGGAAGAAAGGGAAGGCAAUCAGUCACCACUUCUAUCCUUGUUAUUCUCAUAAUACCUUGAAGAAGGAAGCUCAAGCACCAGAAUAAGUUUCUAUGACAUGAUUAUUUUCUGAAUCCAUGAUGACAUGAAACAAAUUCUAAUGAAUAUGAAUCCUUGUUCACAACUGUGAGGGGACAGAAGAACGUUACUGAGAAUGUUUUGGUUUUUUGA
rnacentral:lncRNA from 1 species